GGGCACAAAUGUGCCUUCGCGACUCGUGUGGAUAGCCUAUCCUUUGGCCAGGAAGACGGUCCGUGAAUC
rnacentral:ncRNA from 1 species